rnacentral:rRNA from 1 species
GAUGAACGCUGGCGGCGUGCUUAACACAUGCAAGUCGAACGGUGAACGAGGGAGCUUGCUCCCUCCGGAUCAGUGGCGAACGGGUGAGUAACACGUGAGUAACCUGCCCUUGACUCUGGGAUAAGCGUUGGAAACGACGUCUAAUACCGGAUACGACGCGCGAAGGCAUCUUCUGCGCGUGGAAAGAACUUCGGUCAAGGAUGGACUCGCGGCCUAUCAGCUAGUUGGUGAGGUAACGGCUCACCAAGGCGACGACGGGUAGCCGGCCUGAGAGGGUGACCGGCCAGACUGGGACUGAGACACGGCCCAGACUCCUGCGGGAGGCAGCAGUGGGGAAUAUUGCACAAUGGGCGCAAGCCUGAUGCAGCAACGCCGCGUGAGGGACGACGGCCUUCGGGUUGUAAACCUCUUUUAGUAGGGAAGAAGCGAAAGUGACGGUACCUGCAGAAAAAGCACCGGCUAACUACGUGCCAGCCGCCGCGGUAAAAC